rnacentral:rRNA from 1 species
GACGAACGCUGGCGGCGUGCCUAAUACAUGCAAGUAGAACGCACAGUUUAUACCGUAGCUUGCUACACCAUAGACUGUGAGUUGCGAACGGGUGAGUAACGCGUAGGUAACCUGCCUGGUAGCGGGGGAUAACUAUUGGAAACGAUAGCUAAUACCGCAUAAUAUUAAUUAUUGCAUGAUAAUUAAUUGAAAGGUGCAAUUGCACCACUACCAGAUGGACCUGCGUUGUAUUAGCUAGUAGGUGAGGUAACGGCUCACCUAGGCGACGAUACAUAGCCGACCUGGGAGGGUGAUCGGCCACACUGGGACUGAGACACGGCCCAGACUCCUACGGGAGGCAGCAGUAGGGAAUCUUCGGCAAUGGACGAAAGUCUGACCGAGCAACGCCGCGGGAGUGAAGAAGGUUUUCGGAUCGUAAAGCUCGGUUGUAAGAGAAGAACGGGUGUGAGAGUGGAAAGUUCACACUGUGACGGUAUCUUACCAGAAAGGGACGGCUAACUACGUG